UUUGGUCGCUGGGGGCGUCCCGACGGUCGGGACUGAGAUCCCCGGAGUCUUCCGGGGAGACCCUUCGAACCUGUACGGGUUAUGCCGGCGGAGGGAAGCGACGUCCGGGCUCA
rnacentral:ncRNA from 1 species